AAUUAGCAAAUGAAUUCAUAUUUGUUUAAUUAUUUCACUAACAUCGUUUUAUUUUAGCAUGUCGGAUUCGGCUGACUCAGAAAAUUUAAAAGAUGAUUAGAGGUUCCGCUCCUUAUUAUCAAAUGACUAUUGAAAUAUCGUUUGAAAGAAUAACUGAGAUCGACUAUAUAAAAAUGUAAAAUUAAAUUAAAUUUUAAGAACGAGAAUAUAUUAAAUUAAGUCAGCUUUUGGAGAUUUUUUUUAUUUAGUAUGUAAAUAUUAUA